UUGUACUGAUUGAGAUUUUAACACGAAGUGAGUGGCGAACGGGUGAGUAACACGUGGGAAACCUGCCCGGAAGCGGGGGGAUAACACCUAGAAACAGAUGCUAAUACCGCAUAACAGAGAAAACCGCAUGGUUUUCUUUUAAAAGAUGGCUCUGCUAUCACUUCUGGAUGGACCCGCGGCGUAUUAGCUAGUUGGUGAGGUAAGGCUCACCAAGGCAGUGAUACGUAGCCGACCUGAGAGGGUAAUCGGCCACAUUGGGACUGAGACACGGUCCAGACUCC
rnacentral:rRNA from 1 species